GCCUGAUAAUAGGUACGUCAUUGUCAACUUACAUCACUUUGUUUUGGUUUUAUUACGAAAAAUGUUUCUGACGGUCCUAAGCCCGUAAAAGUAUGAAGGAAGAAUUGGAAUUAAGUGUUACAAGUUAAGUAAGAGUGCAAGUUUACAAACUGCUACAUAAUGAGAACAUUAAGAUUGCAAUAAAACUUAUUUUGCGCUAGGGUGAAUGAACUUUGAUAAAGACGCCGCGCCGCGCCGCGCCGCGCCGCUCCAUUGAUACAAGACUCGGGCCGCGCUCACUACAGGGUGUUUUUAUAAUCUAUGUCAUGCGUCAUAAUAAUGAAUUUAUUUUUAUUUUUGAAUUAUUCAAAUGUCAUAAAUAUAUAUAUUUUCUUAAUGAACGUGUUCUAGUCAUUGGAUACAUGAAGUGGGCUGCCGUUGUAAGACGACUAAAAUGUCACGGUGUAUUUACAUUCCAUGCUAUUUAAUAGCUUGAUUCGGCGUACCUUUUAAUUAUAAUCGUACAAAAUAUCUGUGAUCAAAUAACGUAGGUACCUAUUUAACUUACAAUAUCAGCGCUCGAAGUGAACAGUUUGUGUUGUUAUUGACUUAGUACUAGCGAUAAACUAUAAAAUGUUACGCUGACAAUUUGUUGUUAAAGAAAAUAAGUUUCAAGUUAUAAGCUGAUACAUUAUGGCGUAAAUCCUAAGGUAGUGAUUCUCGGGCGCGGGUGGGUGUGGUCGACUUGACUAUAAAGGAUGGAAUUCACCAACCGAUUUCUUCCUUUAUUUAUUUCUUGCACACCAAUUCUCAUUUUUUUCAUCUGCCACUUGCCUAUAUGAGCAUGUAUGAGUUUUCGGUUAAAAAUAAGUGAUCGUCGUCCAUUUUAUCAAACGCUGACGCGCAAACGCCUGGCGGUUUAUAUGUAAACUCGAAAUCGAAUCAGCUGUGGCGCAUUUAGCAAUCGCAGAGCCUAUAACAAAGUUAACGCGAGGCCUUAAUUCACCGACAAUUUCGACGUCUAUUUUUCUUAAAACAAUUGUUUUAAUUUAAAUCAAAGCAAUCACAAUACACUUUGGUCAUGAACUGCUUUGAUUUUAUUGUGUCGCUGGUAUAGGUUCCUUUCCAGUACCUACCUAGUUAGAUACAUUACAAAUUCUUGCGUAAAGGGUUUCAAAGCCACCAUAAUAAAGUGCUAGUUCCUACAGGGUCAAUUUCCCUUAAUGUUAGGUAUAUAACUAAUGUAACACGCAGUGCGUAUCCUAUACCUACGUAAUAUAUGUACUUGUACUAAGGCGGACCCUAGACCUACAAUAACAUUGUGCACAUAGACAUCAAUUUGGCACAAUAGGCUAAUGUUGCGCAGUACAAAUGUUCGUCUGGGGAGCGCUUACUAUUUAAGAUUAGAACAAUACUAUUGAACUACUGUCAAUUAAUAAAUUAUAUAAUAAUUGUAGUAUACAGAUUAACUAUUGUUGGUUAAUCCAGAAGUUUUAUAUUUUAUACGAAGAAACAGUUGCAUGCACAACGAGAAAUACUGAAAUGCUUAAGGCAACUAAUAUUAAUUAGGUAUAAUAUGUCUAUGCGUAACCGACUAACGCCUAUUUUCACCGAUAGCAUAAACGGCAGUUUUCUUAAAACAACUUGUUAAAUUGAACGUAUAAAUUCAUACUAAACAACUGUAUAGGUACUAAGAAAACAGUUGUUUUAAGAAAACUGACGUUUAUGUUGUCGAUUGUCGAUGGGCUGAGACCUAAGCACGCAUUGCGAGUGCCUAGCCCGUACAAUGUUAGGUAUAACUGAAUAUCUUCUCCGGUGGACAUAUUUAUACGGGUACGGGUUCGGUUGUCGAAGUGGGAAAAGUAUACCUGUGGCUUGAUUCUGCUAAUUAAAUAGUGUGACAGUUGGAUAACAAUUGAAUCUCAAUAGCAGUUUUAGUUUUAACCUUAGCGAGUAUUCUGCUACUAAUGUAAGACCAGUCGUAUUCCAAUGACAUUUCAAGGUUUGCCAUUGGUCUAUGGGGUAGUUUGCUCUACAAUCGUACCUAAAUCAUUUGCAGAUAAUAUGAUCCAUUAUUGAAUCACAGAAAAGGAUGAAAACAAAAAAAUGCGGAAUGCCACAUAUGCUUCAAUUGUAAUUGAAUCUUAGUUGGAUAUCAAUGGUAUGUCGCUCAAGUAAAAUCACAGAAAAGGAUGAAAACAAAAAAAUGCGGAAUGCCACAUAUGCUUCAAUUGUAAUUGAAUCUUAGUUGGAUAGCAAUGGUAUGUCGCUCAAGUAAAAUUAGCAGAAUUAAGCCCCUGGAGGGAGAAGUGGACAAGGAGUCAUAAAAAUCAUGUGCUUUCUAAUAUUAUACUACGAAGAAACAUCGUAUUUAUUGUAACAUUGAAUUAAUCAUAUUUGUUAUUCAAAAUUGAUAUACCAGAUUAGGCAUUAGAAAUAGAUACCUAUAAUGUAGAUAAGAGCGUAGGUAUUAGAUCAUUGUUGGGAUUUAGUGUUUGAAUAUCGUAUGGACAUUUAGAUUUGGUGUUUUCAUAGACGCUAUUGUCAUUGUUUUCAUUUUAGUUGGUUGUAACUAUAUUAAUAUAAUAAACUACUAAGUAAAAAAACUA